rnacentral:rRNA from 1 species
GGUAACACUGAAUGGAGGACCGAACCGACUUACGUUGAAAAGUGAGCGGAUGAACUGAGGGUAGCGGAGAAAUUCCAAUCGAACCUGGAGAUAGCUGGUUCUCUCCGAAAUAGCUUUAGGGCUAGCCUCAAGUGAUGAUUAUUGGAGGUAGAGCACUGUUUGGACGAGGGGCCCCUCUCGGGUUACCGAAUUCAGACAAACUCCGAAUGCCAAUUAAUUUAACUUGGGAGUCAGAACAUGGGUGAUAAGGUCCGUGUUCGAAAGGGAAACAGCCCAGACCACCAGCUAAGGUCCCAAAAUAUAUGUUAAGUGGAAAAGGAUGUGGCGUUGCCCAGACAACUAGGAUGUUGGCUUAGAAGCAGCCAUCAUUUAAAGAGUGCGUAAUAGCUCACUAGUCGAGUGACACUGCGCCGAAAAUGUACCGGGGCUAAACAUAUUACCGAAGCUGUGGAUUGUCCUUUGGACAAUGGUAGGAGAGCGUUCUAAGGGCGUUGAAGCAUGAUCGUAAGGACAUGUGGAGCGCUUAGAAGUGAGAAUGCCGGUGUGAGUAGCGAAAGACGGGUGAGAAUCCCGUCCACCGAUUGACUAAGGUUUCCAGAGGAAGGCUCGUCCGCUCUGGGUUAGUCGGGUCCUAAGCUGAGGCCGACAGGCGUAGGCGAUGGAUAACAGGUUGAUAUUCCUGUACCACCUAUAAUCGUUUUAAUCGAUGGGGGGACGCAGUAGGAUAGGCGAAGCGUGCGAUUGGAUUGCACGUCUAAGCAGUAAGGCUGAGUAUUAGGCAAAUCCGGUACUCGUUAAGGCUGAGC